UUUUUUAAGUGUACCAGGUUAACCUUGUAUUUAAGGUUAUGUAUUUGUUUUCAAAUUCAGUCGUCAUAUAUUUAAUAAGGACAAACAUGUUCUAGUCUGUAUUUUAUUAAUAGUUUAACAUUUUAUGAAAGACUGAACAGACACUGUCACGUUAUUUGUUUAGCAUGAAGAGCAAUUAUUUCUUGUGUAACCCAAUUAAAAUUUUAUCUAUGGCUACUCUGAAGAUAGCCUAAUUUAAAUGGUCAUAAACAAUUCUAUACUGCGGUUUAAGCUGCUUUUCAUUGACAUGAAAUUAGGUUUUAAACCAGAUAUUUGUCACUUUAAAAAAAUCAUUAAACACUUGAAACUGGUUCAGUUUUCUAAAUGGGGUUGUAACCAGUAUUAAAUAAGUAAAAUCUAGCUUUUGGAUAACAUAUGUCCUUUUGCUUUGGAAAACUGAUGGGCAUUUGUGAAUUGAUUUUUUUUUUUUUAACACUAAAUUAUGAUAGAAAACUAAAAACAGUUAAUUAUCUGCUGUGUACUUCAAUUUUAAAAUAUUUAAGUAUCAUUUAUGCAAUUAACUGAUGAUUUGUGGUUAAAGGUUAACACAAGCUGUUUGGUUUUUAAUGUUUUUCUGCCCCUUGUGGACAAACCAGAUAUACCCUUAACUGUAUUUUGAGUUGAGCAAAUCAAAAUAGUCAGAAUUGAAUAUUUUCAUUUAUCACUGUGAAGGUUUCCAUGGUAGACUUUUAUUUUGUUGUAUUGUGUCUCACUGGACCACUGGAAUUUAUCAGUAAUGUUUAUGUGGUUGGAGUGCUGCUUAAAUAACUGUGUACUUGUCUGUCUGUCCUGAUUUAUUGCUAAACUCAGUCUUGCAGCUGUAGCUACUUGAGUAGGUGCACACAGAUAUCUCCACAUGAAAAUGAAAUUUUGGGUAGAGUAGUUGAAUUAUUAUUAUUUUAAUGUGCCAAAUAUCAAGAUCUUCUGCACGACUGCAGGGGGGAAGGUUGGAAAGCACGGCUGUUCCAGAUUGAGGUCGGUUGUAGAGGAUUCCCUGCUCAGUCAGUGAAGAAAAUGCUCACAGCCAUUGGAAUGAUAAGGAAGAAAAGAAAGGCAACAGCUUGCAGGAUGGGGGUGGGGGGCAACAGAAAGAGUCUCUUGCUGCUUAUGGAGCAGGAGAGAGUUAAGCUGGAAGCCAGGAGGGGAAGAUGGGGCACUGACUUGGCUGCCGACCCACCAUCGGGAGGGUUUUACGGAUGAGAGUCGAAACACCUAAUGAACGAUGGGUGACAUCGACCCCUCCUGGCCAAGGCUGCAGUCACCUCAGCUGAAUGAAGGUGAGAAGCAUCUUCAGAUGUAUAUGUAAUCUAAAGAUGUAUCCUGGGUGGGGGAAAGAAAUGGAACACAACUUAAACUUGUACUGGGUCACAUGAUCACAUUAAGUCAGGCAGGAUUUCUUACCCCAAUGAUUACUGAUUUACCAGAUAACCUAAAAUAUCUUUCAUACUGAAGUUGUUUUUUUUUAUGACAGCUCUGCAAGAAAAUGAAAUGACAAGCCCAUUAACCUAAUCAAAAAAAAAAAAAUAAGAUUAUUCAUUCACUGACCAGUCAGAACAGUACAAAAAAAAUGUAGUUGAGAACAGCAUUUAUCAUGGCUGUGACAUCUAUGCUGUAUUUCAGAGUUCAAAUUAUUAGACAUAAAUAAAUGUAGUAGUUUGUGGUGAAUAUGGGAAAUUUACAUCCAGAAUUUUUUUGAUUAUUAUAUUUAGUCAUUCUUCAAUCGUUGUGGAUUUAUAGUCGUACCAGAGACACUAGGCUUCACACAUUUUUUUCUUUUUCACAAAUCAAUGUAAUUUGACCACGAAAAGGGAAACUAUUACAUUUUGAAUGCAUUUAGUUACACAUCCAUUGCUGCAGUUUUAAUUUCUUCAUCUGCUUUUGUUGAUGUAUUUUAGAAAGUUGCCUAAUGUACAAUAUAUAUAUAUAUUUUUUUUUUAGUAGUAAUGCAUGAUAGGAUGGCUGGCUUCUUUGCAGUAACAGAGGCAGUGAUUUAUUUACUUUUUUCUUGUGAUGAAGAUUGGGGGGGGGGGGGGGGGGUUCAUGGUGAGCCAUGUAACUGGAAAUCCUCUGAUUACAAACUCUUGAGUCUAGAUUUAGAUGAUGGUUUUAUGUUGUAUUAAGGUUAAACUGAUUUGUAAAUGUUAAUCACUGGAGACUCUGCAGAUUGCUUUGUAAAACUUGUAUACAUAUUUUUGUGCGUCUUUAAAGGAUCUUGAGAGAAUUUUUACUUCACUCAUGUAUGUAUAUAUGUUUUUAAUUUAUGGUGUCAAGCAAGCUAUGAAAUGUACAGAGGCACAGCCGUGUACAGUCAUGCUCACUUAUGUUUAGUAAAUGCUAUUUUUAAAUGUCGGGGAGAAAUAAAUGCAUUAUGGGCAA